GUUCCCGGUGAUGUAAGAAUGACCAUGCUAAUUCUGGAUAUUGAUUUUGAAGAAAGCUUAUGUUAUUUAUCUGAGGGAGCA
rfam:Capsicum annuum cultivar Zunla-1 chromosome 8, whole genome shotgun sequence